GUAGUUUAAAGGCAGAACAACAGCUUCCCAAGCUGUAUACGAGGGUUCAAUUCCCUUC
rnacentral:tRNA from 1 species